UACGUAGGGUGCAAGCGUUGUCCGGAAUUAUUGGGCGUAAAGAGCUCGUAGGCGGUUUGUCGCGUCUGCUGUGAAAACCCGAGGCUCAACCUCGGGCCUGCAGUGGGUACGGGCAGACUAGAGUGCGGUAGGGGAGAUUGGAAUUCCUGGUGUAGCGGUGAAAUGCGCAGAUAUCAGGAGGAACACCGGUGGCGAAGGCGGGUCUCUGGGCCGAUACUGACGCUGAGGAGCGAAAGCGUGGGGAGCGAACAGG
rnacentral:rRNA from 1 species